ensembl:lncRNA
AUCAGUCGAGCAUCACAUGAUCAGUCUGCACGUCACAUGACACGUCACAUGAUCAGUCGAGCGUCACAUGAUCAGUCGAGCGUCGCGCACCUUUGCUGGCGGUGUAGAGCAGCGCGGCCUGGAAGGACACGGUCUGCAGGUCCAGCAGGUUCUCCUCGAUGCUCAUCUGCACGGCGAAGCCGGCGUCGGGGUUCACGUUGGGCAGAGACAGCAGGUCGGUGGAGCGCACGAAGAAGUUCCCGUGGAAGGUGUGUAUGGACAGACCUGCAGACGACAGAAGAACACGUCAGUGUUCAGCAGGGCUGGACUCAGACCGACGCCUCACUCCACACACCUUUAGUGCAGCGGAUCCUCAUCACGGCCUCGAAGCCGAUCUUGCGCGUCAGGUAUCUCUUCAGAUCCUUCUGGAGGCGCUCCGUCUGAGGCGGGUUGUGCUGCUUGUGGUAUGAAGGGUAGAAAUAGACGCUUCCGGCCGAGUAUCUGGAUA